AGAGUUUGAUCCUGGCUCAGAGCGAACGCUGGCGGCAGGCUUAACACAUGCAAGUCGAACGGGCGUAGCAAUACGUCAGUGGCAGACGGGUGAGUAACACGUGGGAACGUACCUUUUGGUUCGGAACAACUGAGGGAAACUUCAGCUAAUACCGGAUAAGCCCUUACGGGGAAAGAUUUAUCGCCGAAAGAUCGGCCCGCGUCUGAUUAGCUAGUUGGUGGGUAAGAGCCCACCAAGGCGACGAUCAGUAGCUGGUCUGAGAGGAUGAUCAGCCACAUUGGGACUGAGACACGGCCCAAACUCCUACGGGAGGCAGCAGUGGGGAAUAUUGGACAAUGGGCGAAAGCCUGAUCCAGCCAUGCCGCGUGAGUGAUAAAGGCCCUAGGGUUGUAAAGCUCUUUUAACGGGGAAGAUAAUGACGGUACCCGUAGAAUAAGCCCCGGCUAACUUCGUG
rnacentral:rRNA from 1 species